AAGACCUGUGAAGAUUUGAAUGAACUGAUCUAAAGCUAAAUAAAUAGAACCAACAGAUAAAUAUGUAUAUAGCUAGGACAGUGAAAAUGCUUAAAGGAAGUAGAACUCUGAGUAAAGAAAAAAAAACCAAACCAACAACAGUGAAAGUCCUGGAGAAGAGGUAAAAAAAUUGAGGACCAGAGACUUUCCCAAGGUUACAUAGGCAGGAAGCAUUGGAGGAAGAAUUUCAACUCAGGUUUUCUGGCUCUAGAACUAGAAUUUUUUCCAUUAUACCAUAUUGGAAUCUAGUUACUUAGGCAGAGAAUAGUCUAGAGGGAAAACAAUCAAGCAAACAUGUAGGACUUUCAUCCAAGAAACUUGGUUUCUAGUCCAUCUCUGCCACUAACUAAAAGACUUUGGACAAGUCCUUAACCUCUUUGUCAUAGGAGGAAACCAAGGCCCAGAUAAAUUAAUGUCGAAGGAAUGCAUGAAUGAAUAUGAGCUGGUCUAGGCUUUUCUCAUUCUUUUUUCUAUAACAAGUUCAUGACAGACAUUAUGCCCAGUGGAUUGAGUCCUGAGCUUCUAGCUCAAGUUGUGCCUCUGACAUAUACUAGCUCUGUGACAGACACUUUUGAUGGCCUGGGCAAGUCUCCAAGAUAAGCAGUGUUGGAGGAGCUGUUGAUCUAUGUUGGAGAAGGGAAUUUUCACCCUGGGAACCGCCUACACAGAUGAACAACUAGGUCUCUCUGUACCAAAAAAGUCACAUUGCUAAUAAGUGAGAGGGCUGGCACUAGAGCUUAGGAUGGCCAUUGCAGAAGCCUUUGAAGGAAUUUAAGGAGGCCUGGAAAAGGGAGAGGGACUUACCCAUGCAGUAUUGUCUGAUCCUUUCCCAAAGCUCAGUUCCCAGGAACAGGAUGUCGAGAGGAGACCCGUUUCCUUCUACACUCAAUUGUGCAACCCGUGGGUCUCCCUGUUUGGGGCCAUCGGGUCCCUUACCAUCAUGUUUGUGAUUCAGUGGAUCUAUGCAUUGGUUGACAUAGGGGUUGCUGUCAUCCUCUAUUUCUACAUUGGCCAAGUAAGCCCCGGCCUUCAUCCUGGAGCUGCUGCCAAUUAUAGCCUUUUCCGAUGGAUAAAGUCCCUUCUGAUACCUUCAUUCAGGAGGCUCCAGGCCCCUCAGGAACAGAUUAUUUUGACGCCGUCCCUGGCCAAGGUUGACAUGGAGAUGAUGCAGCUCACCAAGGAGAACACGGACUUUGCCUCUCGGGACCGGUACCACCAUUCCUCCCUCGUAAGCAGGGAAGAGCUGAUAAAUCAGUUCUAGUGGCUGCCAGGGAAGGAAGCCUUUAUUUCCAGGAAGCUUCCCUAUGGGUGUAGUGGACCUCCGCCCUAAAACUAUGGCGGCCCUGGCCCCAUUCAAUGGGAAAAUGCACCCCAGCUUUCCAUUGAUAAGAACAGGGACCACUGCAGGAACAAUGGGAGAAAUCUGGAUUCUGGAGAGCUGCCUGCCAACGGAAGUCAACAGAAUGAAGGGCUCUAAGAGCUUACCCAGAGGCCGGAGCAGAUUUUCCUGGCUUUCUUUUUUCCAGUGGCUGCCUUUUAAAUUAAAAUGUUUAAAGACCAGG